UACGUAGGCAGCGAGCGUUGUUCGGAGUUACUGGGCGUAAAGAGUGCGUAGGCGGUUUUCUAAGUUUGGUGUGAAAUCUCCCGGCUUAACUGGGAGGGUGCGCCGAAGACUGGAAGGCUUGAGUAUGGGAGAGGUAAGCGGAAUUCCUGGUGUAGCGGUGAAAUGCGUAGAUAUCAGGAGGAACACCGAUGGCGAAGGCAGGUCUCUGGGCCACUACUGACGCUGAGAAGCGAAAGCAUGGGGGAGCGAACAGG
rnacentral:rRNA from 1 species